rnacentral:lncRNA from 1 species
UUGCCCCUAAUGGUAUCAACCUUUACAAACACCAAUCAAGUCUAAGCAAUUUUUGAAGUUGGUAAUUGGAAGUGGAUUUAUUAACAUAUUAGCUAGUUCAUUGCAGUGGCUGUCUUCUAAACUAAGAGUAAAGAUAUUUCUUGUCAGCGAUUGUCAUUUAUCUAAGUCACUUGCAUAAUCAAAACUAAUAUAGCCUAUAAUACUAUUAAUUAAUGUGCUACUAUGAUA